rnacentral:rRNA from 1 species
AGUGAACGCUGGCGGUAUGCCUAACACAUGCAAGUCGAACGGCAGCACAGUAAGAGCUUGCUCUUACGGGUGGCGAGUGUCGGACGGGUGAGGUAUACAUCGGAUUCUACUUUUUCGUGGGGGAUAACGUAGGGAAACUUACGCGAAUACCGCAUACGACCUACUUGUGUAAGCAGGGGUUGUUUUAGCUUUUUGGUAUGGAAUAAGCCUAUGUCGGAUAAGCUAGUUGGCUGGGCAAAGCCCAACAAAGGCGAGGAUCGGUAUCUGGUCCGGGGGAAUGAACAGCCAGACUGGAACUGAGAAACGGCCCAGACUCCUACGGGAGGCAGCAGUGGGGAAUAUUGGACAAUGGGGGAAAGCCUGAUACAGCAAUACCGCGUGGGUGAAGAAGGACUUCGGGUUGUAAAGCCCUUUUGUUGGGAAAGAAAAGCAGCAGGUUAACCCGCCGCGGUUAUGACGGUACCGAAAGAAUAAGCACCGGCUAACUUCGUG